UGUUUGGCACCUCGAUGUCGGCUCAUCUCAUCCUGGGGCUGGAGCAGGUCCCAAGGGUAUGGCUGUUCGCCAUUUAAAGAGGUACGUGAGCUGGGUUUAGAACGUCGUGAGACAGUUCGGUCCCUAUCUGCCGUGGGUGUACGAGACUUGAGAGGAUCUGUCCCUAGUACGAGAGGACCGGGAUGGACAUACCUCUGGUGGAGCGGUUGUCACGCCAGUGGCACUGCCGCGUAGCUAUGUAUGGACUGGAUAACCGCUGAAGGCAUCUAAGCGGGAAACCAACCUCAAAACUAGGUCUCGCCUGAGAGCCGUAGUAGACCACUACGUCGAUAGGCCGGGUGUGGAAGCGUGGUAACACGUGAAGCUUACCGGUACUAAUUGCUCGAUCGGCUUC
rnacentral:rRNA from 1 species